GAUGAACGCCUAGCGGCAGGCCUAACACAUGCAAGUCGAGGGGCAUCGCGGUGCAGCAAUGCACUGGCGGCGACCGGCGUACGGGUGCGUAACGCGUAUGCAACCUGCCCCGCACCGGGGGAUAGCCCGCCGAAAGGCGGAUUAAUACCCCAUGGCCCCGGGGGCCCGCAUGGGCAUCCGGGUAAAGCCUUGGCGGUGCGGGAUGGGCAUGCGUGCCAUUAGCUGGCUGGUGGGGUAACGGCCCACCAGGGCAACGAUGGCUAGGGGGUCUGAGAGGAUGGUCCCCCACACUGGUACUGAGACACGGACCAGACUCCUACGGGAGGCAGCAGUGAGGAAUAUUGGUCAAUGGGCGGAAGCCUGAACCAGCCAUGCCGCGUGCGGGAUGAAGGCCCUACGGGUUGUAAACCGCUUUUCCCCGGGAAGAAUAACCCCGAUGAGUCGGGGGAUGCCGGUACCGGGGGAAUAAGGAUCGGCUAACUCCGUG
rnacentral:rRNA from 1 species